rnacentral:tRNA from 1 species
GGGAGUGUAGCUUAGUGGUAGACUGAGCCCUUAGCAUGGGCAAGGUCUGUGGUUCAAUCCCCAGCACUCCCA